ACCGCGGCCGCAACCCGCUGGAGAGCCUGCUGGCCAGCGACGACCCGCAGGUUCGGCGAAGGGGGGGGAGGGGAGGGGGGAGAGGGGGAGGGGGAGGGAGGGAGUGGAUCGGGUUUGAGAGGCGAAAGUGGUGGGGAGACCGCCACGCACGCACCCCCACCGCCUCCCCUCCCCCCACCGCCAUCGUGCCUGCUUCGUGCCACCUGCACCUCCCCGCUAGCUGCCAGUCGCAACUCGCACAACUUGCUGCUGUGGUGCUGCAGUCAUUCCCCCUUCGAUAUUCAGGGUUCGCACUCGUCGACCGCCGCCCCAAAGCCCACCUCGCCAACCGCUAUCUAGUCAUGCCUGGAAUCCCCCCCCCCCCCCGCACACACACGUUCUCACAACCCCACAGGACUGGCUGCGCAUCAGUGAGAUGCUGCUGGGCCCGCCGCCGGCGCCCAUCUCCUUCGCCGCCAAGCACAAGUCCAACAGCUACGCCUCGGUGCCGGGGGGCAGCUCGGAGGCGGACAUGGCGAGGGGGUAGCGCUGUGUGUGUGGGGGGGGCAGCUGGUGUGGUAAGGGGGUAGGGUGCGGUAGGGUGCAGCUGCGAGGGAGUAGCGCGAGGGGGUGGUGCGGUAGGGUGCAGCUGUGGUAGGGGGCCUUCCCGCGUGUACCGUAUGCGUCAUCUGACUACUGUUCGGGUGGAGAGGGGGGAGCGGUGACGCAGGGUGGGGUACUGGCGUGCGGGUAGUGUGAUGGCGCGGGGGUAUGCCGUAAGGGCGGGUGGCGGCACUGCGGCGCUGUAAGUGUGGCUGAAGCGGGGGCACCGUAGGGGUGGUGGGAGCAGGCAGCGGUGUGAGGCGGUGCAGGUAGCUAGGGGGAGCGAAGACCCCAUCCACCCGGAGUGCGCUGGACUCCUGUACUUGUAGCUAGCUCGGCCUGGGGAAACUGCAAGUAAGGCCGCGGGCAGCAGCCAGCGGCAGUCCGCCGGUGCCUGGGCCGCGGACUGCGCGGUGGUCGUGGUGAGGUCUGGAGGCCUGGCGGUCUGGAGAGUGUUGCUCGCUGGUGUUGGAAGGCUGGCGAUCUCGGACAUGUAUGCAUCAGCAGUACAAGGGGCAACAAGGGACACACUCACACACCAGCUGCUGAGCAGCACCGCCGGUCUGUGGAGAGCUCGGGGUAGAUGGAGCCGGUCUGGGGAUGAGAGGUAGCCGGUAGUGGCGUCGUGCGCGGCACUGGUGCAUGUGUGGUGGAGUCUUGUCCAUUUGUUUGCUGACGCACGGCUCGCUCGAGGCCGCUGCCAAUGCGGUUUUGCUGUGGACUGUUCGGAGUGCGGGGUGGCUGUGGUGCCGCAUUUGCUGCUGCUAGUGUUGCCGAUGCUGCUAGUGCUGCUAGUGCUGCUGCGGGCGGGCGAACGGCAAGUGGGAGGGCGUGUCGGCAGGUGCGGCGCAGUGAGAGCACACUGUGUGGCGGUGCGGGGGGCAUGCACGGGUGUCACGUGCGUGUGCGCGGCGGACUCGGAAGUCAUGCGCUCGUGAUGGAACAUGGCAAGGGGCAGGAAAGCGUAGUCCCGAUGUGUGUGGCUCCCACCCGUGCCCACAUAAAUGCGUAGCAAGAAGGGACAAGGCAUUGGUGCGUCGUUCGCGCGCUGUUACUGUACCGACGGUAGCUGGCAGGUUGUGUCGAUGUUUUGCUGACGCGCAUUCCUCACGCUCCGGGCGCCCGGCCAAGGCGAUAGCACCACACAGACUCAAUGCGACGCCACACCGCGCGGAUAGCAUAGCCGAUGCGCACCUGCAGGCAGUCGACCGGCGUCCACGGAUGAGCUGUGUAGACGAGCACUAGCGUAAUGCAACGGCGUGCAGCAAAAC
rnacentral:lncRNA from 1 species